rnacentral:rRNA from 1 species
UACGUAGGGGGCAAGCGUUGUCCGGAAUCAUUGGGCGUAAAGAGCGCGUAGGCGGCCCAGUAAGUCCGCUCUGAAAGUCAGAGGCUCAACCUCUGAAUGCGGGUGGAUACUGCUGGGCUAGAGUCCGGAAGAGGCGAGUGGAAUUCCUGGUGUAGCGGUGAAAUGCGCAGAUAUCAGGAGGAACACCGAUGGCGAAGGCAGGUCUCUGGGCAUUAACUGACGCUGAGGAGCGAAAGCAUGGGGAGCGAACAGG